rnacentral:lncRNA from 1 species
UUUAUAAUGUAUAACACACUGUAUAAUAUAUUUAUAUAAUACAAUAUAUUCUGGUGUAUGUGUUUUUUUUUUCAUCUUCAGAAUCCAUUAGCACUCGCUAUAUAGUGCAAAAUAUUAUUGGAGAAGGAGGCUAUGGCAAAGUGUAUGAGGGAAUCCGUAUUUCCGAUGGCAAAAAGACUGUACAUCCCAAACCUC